AUUGUCAUAGCAGGCCUCUCUACUCAAUGACUUUGAUUCUUUAAUGUGACUAAUAAUUACAGUGUUGAUUCUAUGUUAGGCAGUGCCUGGACCUCCAGCCUUCCAUCUGGUGAGAUUCACUCUGGGAGCUCCUGCUGACUCGACUGCAAAAGAAAGAAGUAUCAUCAAUGGAGAUUAAUCCUUCCAUCAGCCUGGAGAGAAAGGGCCGAAGACUGCAUGUGGAUUUGCUCAGCAUGCUACUGCCUUUAUUAAACAACCAACAGGACAAAAGGAAACAAGGCCUCUCCUCCUCCAAAAGAGUUCAGUGCCAAAAAUGUAUUAUCCAGUCAAGAGCCACAAAUUCAGGAGAGGAUGGGGCCCUAAAAAGACCAACAUAAGCAAGUUAUAGAAGAUAAGAACUCUGAAAGUACGUGAAAGAAUUUCAUGCUUUGAAACUCACGUAGAAUAAGGUAAGGGUGUAAGAAAUCAAAAUCAAACAAACAAAAAAUCAAGGAAACAUUAAAACAUUGUAUUUACUCAAUAUGAAAAAAAAGCAAGGCUAAUUCAUUAAAGAUUUGCAAACACAGGGGAGUGCCUACAGCUUGAUGGAGUAGGCUGUCUUUUUUCCACCAUGAGAAGAACCAUAGGAUAGGGACUAAACUGUAGCAGGGAAGAGUCAGGUAUAAAUCAAGUCACUUCCUUGAGUGAUGUUAUGUUAUUAGAUACUGAUAGUAUCAGAUGGAGAUUACAGAAUUUUCUAAAGAGUUGUGCAGGUAGGGGGAAGAGGAAGUUAGAGAAUCAUUUGUGUCUAUAUUUGUCUGGGAUAUUUUUCCCCCAAAGAAACAAUCUCCCAAACAAAGAACUUUGCUAAUUGUCAGUAAGGAAUCCAGACACAAUAUUAGCUUCUUUGGAAGCUGGCUCUUUGGAAGAGGUUUAGAGAAGGAGGAAGGUGAGUUCUGGGUGUAUGGUCCUGUGAGCACAGAUCUGAAUGCUGCAAUUCAGACUGGCCACAUUUCAAAUUUUUAACAGCCCACGUGUUGCUAGUGGCUACUGUGUGGACAGUGUAGCUCUGUGGUUUGCCUGUAUUUAUAUUUUAAUUUUUAUAACAUGUUGGCUCAAGAGUAAAAUUAUGUUCUUUCGACAAACUAGCUAACUCAUUCUUUCAUUAAAUAAAAUGUCUCUAGUUCUCUAUUUAGCUAUUUGA
rnacentral:lncRNA from 1 species